UGAGACGCUGCGGCGUGCUUAACACAUGCAAAGUCGAACGAUGAUCUCCAGCUUGCUGGGGGGAUUAGUGGCGAACGGGUGAGUAACACGUGAGUAACCUGCCCUUGACUCUGGGAUAAGCCUGGGAAACUGGGUCUAAUACCGGAUAUGACCAUUCCGCGCAUGCGGUGGUGGUGGAAAGCUUUUGCGGUUUUGGAUGGACUCGCGGCCUAUCAGCUUGUUGGUGGGGUAAUGGCCUACCAAGGCGACGACGGGUAGCCGGCCUGAGAGGGUGACCGGCCACACUGGGACUGAGACACGGCCCAGACUCCUACGGGAGGCAGCAGUGGGGAAUAUUGCACAAUGGGCGCAAGCCUGAUGCAGCGACGCCGCGUGAGGGAUGACGGCCUUCGGGUUGUAAACCUCUUUCAGUAGGGAAGAAGCCGCAAGGUGACGGUACCUGCAGAAGAAGCGCCGGCUAACUACGUGCCAGCAGCCGCGGUAAUACGUAGGGCGCAAGCGUUAUCCGGAAUUAUUGGGCGUAAAGAGCUCGUAGGCGGUUUGUCGCGUCUGCUGUGAAAGACCGGGGCUCAACUCCGGUUCUGCAGUGGGUACGGGCAGACUAGAGUGAUGUAGGGGAGACUGGAAUUCCUGGUGUAGCGGUGAAAUGCGCAGAUAUCAGGAGGAACACCGAUGGCGAAGGCAGGUCUCUGGGCAUUAACUGACGCUGAGGAGCGAAAGCAUGGGGAGCGAACAGGAUUAGAUACCCUGGUAGUCCAUGCCGUAAACGUUGGGCACUAGGUGUGGGGGACAUUCCACGUUUUCCGCGCCGUAGCUAACGCAUUAAGUGCCCCGCCUGGAGA
rnacentral:rRNA from 1 species